rnacentral:rRNA from 1 species
CUACGUGCCAGCAGCCGCGGUAAUACGUAGGGCGCGAGCGUUGUCCGGAAUUAUUGGGCGUAAAGAGCUUGUAGGCGGUUUGUCGCGUCUGCUGUGAAAGACCGGAGCUUAACUCCGUGUAUUGCAGUGGGUACGGGCAGACUAGAGUGCAGUAGGGGAGACUGGAAUUCCUGGUGUAGCGGUGGAAUGCGCAGAUAUCAGGAGGAACACCGAUGGCGAAGGCAGGUCUCUGGGCUGUAACUGACGCUGAGAAGCGAAAGCAUGGGGAGCGAACAGGAUUAGAUACCCUGGUAGUCCAUGCCGUAAACGUUGGGCACUAGGUGUGGGGAACAUUCCACGUUUUCCGCGCCGUAGCUAACGCAUUAAGUGCCCCGCCUGGGGAGUACGGCCGCAAGGCUAAAACUCAAAGAAAUUGACGGGGGCCCGCACAAGCGGCGGAGCAUGCGGAUUAAUUCGAUGCAACGCGGAGAACCUUACCAAGGCUUGACAU